ACGCUUCAGCUUGCUGAAGCUAGUAAAGUGGCGCACGGGUGAGUAACGCGUGGGUAACCUACCUCUGAAUUGGGGAUAACAUUGCGAAAGCGAUGCUAAUACCGAAUAACAUCCCUUCCACUUCGGUGGUUUGGAUCAAAGGUGGCCUCUACAUGUAAGCUACUGUUUGGAGAUGGGCCCCCGUACCAUUAGCUUGUUGGUGAGGUAAAAGCUCACCAAGGCGACGAUGGUUAGCUGGUCUGAGAGGAUGAUCAGCCACACUGGAACUGACACACGGUCCAGACUCCUACGGGAGGCAGCAGUGAGGAAUUUUGCGCAAUGGGGGAAACCCUGACGCAGCAACGCCGCGUGAGUGAUGAAGGCUUUCGGGUCGUAAAGCUCUGUCAAGUGGGAAGAAACCGCAUGGUGCCAAUACCACCAAGCGCUGACGGUACCACUGAAGGAAGCACCGGCUAACUCCGUGCCAGCAGCCGCGGUAAUACGGGGGGUGCAAGCGUUACUCGGAAUCACUGGGCGUAAAGGGCGCGCAGGCGGUUUGGCAAGUCAGAUGUGAAAGCCCGGGGCUCAACCCCGGAAGUGCAUCUGAAACUGCUGAACUUGAGUAUGGGAGAGGGAAGUGGAAUUCCUGGUGUAGCGGUGAAAUGCGUAGAUAUCAUGAGGAACACCGGUGGCGAACGCGACUUCCUGGACCAAUACUGACGCUGAGGCGCGAAGGCGUGGGGAGCAAACAUGAUUAGAUACCCUGGUAGUCCACGCAGUAAACGGUGAACACUAGUGUAGCGGGUAUUGACCCCUGCUGUGCCGAAGCUAACGCAUUAAGUGUUCCGGCUGGGGAGUACGGCCGCAGGUUAAAACUCAAAGGAAUUGACGGG
rnacentral:rRNA from 1 species